rnacentral:lncRNA from 1 species
CCUGCCUCAGCCUCCCGAGUAGCUGGGACUACAGGCGGUGCGCCGUUUUUUAAGCCCGUCGGAAAAGCGCAGUAUUCGGGUGGGAGUGACCCGAUUUUCCAGGUGCCGUCCGUCACCCCUUUCUUUGACUCGGAAAGGGAACUCCCUGACCCCUUGCGCUUCCCGAGUGAGGCAGUGCCUCGCCCUGCUUCGGCUCGCACACGGUGCGCGCACCCACUGACCUGCGCCCGCUCUCUGGCACUCCCUAGUGAGAUGAACCCGGUACCUCAGAUGGAAAUGCAGAAAUCACCGUCUUCUGCGUCGCUCACGCUGGGAGCUGUAGACCGGAGCUGUUCCUAUUCGGCCAUCUUGGCUCCUCCAGGCCAAUUUACUUUCAAAAAUACCUGCAUCCAGGAACUCUCAUGCUAGCAGGAUGAGGUAAUGACUAUUUCCCAUACUCGUGUCAACUUUGAGCAAUGCUAGGAAUUUCCAUAUGUCCAAACAACUGUUUAUCAGGAAAUGCAACAAGGUACUUUUGACACUGAGCGUGAAAGGAACUCAUUGAACCAAAAUCUUCCAAAAAGACUGGAACAUAAGAGAGCGGAUGAAGAGCAUAAUAGAAGAGAAGUGCCAGGGAGGAGGAUUAUCUUAGGCAGAGCACACUGAGGAUGGAGAGUUACCAGCCCUCCCGAGCUGUCGUUGGCACUGAACCAAUGAGAGCCAUUCAUGUGCCUGUCUGUGCCUUGUGUUUUUCUUCUUCAACAUAUACUUUAGAACAUCCAUUCUGUGCAAAGCUCUGUGCCCACAGCUGUUGAGAUGCCAGAUGCAUGCUGUUCCCUGCCCUGAAGACCCCAGCAGUCAGGCCAGGGAGAGAAGACAUUCUUAGACAACCCAACAGUCGUCCCUGGGGAAAGGAAGCACGGUUUCGGGGAAGUGGCCAAGUGGCUUAAGUGAGGAGGGUCUGCUUGAAGGUGGCAGGUCUGCUUGAAGCGGCUUCCUGAAGAGGUGAGCUUAUCACCGGCAUCCUGUGUCCCUUCAGGUUCCCUGAGAACUGGGUCAAGAAAGCAGGUUGGGGUAGGAAACAAACGACACCCCCAUUUCAAACAAUAACUUUUAUUUUAUACUUCUCUAUACUUUGUAGCAAAUCUUUUUUUGCUGAAUUUAAUUUAUAAUAAACUUUUUAAAUUACAUCU